UACGAAGGGGGCGAGCGUUGUCCGGAUUUAUUGGGCGUAAAGAGCUCGUAGGCGGUUCGAUAAGUCAGGUGUAAAAACUCCAGGCUCAACUUGGAGAGGCCACCUGAUACUGUCGUGACUAGAGUCCGGUAGAGGAGCACGGAAUUCCUGGUGUAGCGGUGAAAUGCGCAGAUAUCAGGAGGAACACCAGCGGCGAAGGCGGUGCUCUGGGCCGGAACUGACGCUGAGGAGCGAAAGCGUGGGGAGCGAACAGG
rnacentral:rRNA from 1 species